rnacentral:rRNA from 1 species
AGGAAUAUUGGGCAAUGCCCGCAAGGGUGACCCAGCAACGCCGUGUGGAGGAUGAAUGUCGUAAGAUUGUAAACUCCUGUUAGAGGGGAAGAAAAGUACCGGCUGGACUGGCAUAUGACUGUACCCUCAGCGAAAGCCCCGGCUAACUACGUGCCAGCAGCCGCGGCAAGACGUAUGGGGCAAGCGUUAUCCGGAUUCACUGGGUUUAAAGGGUGCGUAGGUGGGCAGAUAAGUCAGUGGUGAAAUCUUCCGGCUUAACCGGGAAACUGCCGUUGAUACUAUUUGUCUUGGAUAGUGCGGAGGUAAGCGGAAUAUGUCAUGUGGCGGUGAAAUGCUUAUGUAUAACAUAGAACACCAAUUGCGAAGGCAGCUUACUACGCAAUCAUUGAC